CCCAACCUCAAGCUGCCGGCUCCUAACUCGGUUGGUCGAGGUAUGUGCCGUCCGCUCCGUCUCAGACGAGAGCAAAGGCGUCGAUGCUAGCACGAGGAUGGGGGCCACGGGAUACAAAGUAGGAGCCGGAUCCCGCGCUCGCUGUUGCCUCCGAGCUGCCCUACCAUCGCCAAUUCAGGCCUGCUGACAUGGGUGCUGAGUUGCUGAUGUGAGGACUGCCACAGCAAGAGAAGGUUUUACUAAAAUAUGCAGUACAUGCGGACAAAUACUUGAUUGGCCAGCUUCCUCACUAUUUGAG